AUAAAGAAACCACAGUCUGUGUUCUUACACUGACUGUAUAGACAAAGAGGAGGAAAAGUAAACCUACCACUUUUACACCUCAGCCCAGAACCUGUGCUUGGUCUGUAUUGGAAUGGGAAAGCAUGG
rnacentral:snoRNA from 1 species